rnacentral:rRNA from 1 species
UGGGGAAUAUUCCGCAAUGGGCGCAAGCCUGACGGAGCAACGCCGCGUGAAUGAAGAAGGUUUUCGGAUUGUAAAGUUCUGUCAUUAGGGACGAAGGACCUGUGCGAAUAGUGCAGGGGAUGACGGUACCUAAGGAGGAAGCUCCGGCUAACUACGUGCC